UAUCCGACCCCGAGCAGGUGUUUUCCUGUGAUGUAAACCACCUCAAAUUCUUGAAAUGACACUUAACGCUUCUGCAUACACUUAAGGAGACUUUCGCAACACUUGCAUUGAAAUCGAAGCUUAAGAGAAUCCAAGCUGAUGAAUUUGCGGGGCGUAGAGUUAAUACAUACAGCUUGCAACCACAGUAUCCUACAGCCCAUCGGGCAUCGAGUGUCAAUUUGCUUGCUCAUAGGGGAUUCAGAUGGCACAAGGAAAACAACGAGUACAGAAUCUAGACAAGCACUGUCCUGGUGUACUGUUUAGUACCACAACCUGCCUGUUUGCGAAACUCAGUAUCUAUCAAAGAAGAAAAAAUACGAGCCAAAGAGGUGGGGAAAGCUGCUGUUCGGCAUUGGCAGUGAAAAGCCCAUCACAGCCUCUUGGAGGCUAUUAUUAGAUUUGAUGCUUAAACUUCAGCCUCAUUAAUUCUCAAUCAACUUUGAGCUCACGGGCUUGACUCAUUUCUUCUGAAAAUUAAAUCAGGGUGCAGUCUGUGUUUUGUCAGGUUGGCUAGCCCUGGUCGACAGCUUGGGUCACAACUCACAAGCUUCUGAGGAAAUAGGCCUGGCUCAUUUGUUUGGAGCAUCCUCUUCACAGGCAGCUAAAGCCAGUGUAUUGCUAAUGAAGAAUCAAAGUAAGGAGCCAUGGUAGUAAAGAUGAAAAUAUGAAUUUGACACCCUAAUUUGAGGGAACAAAAAAAAGGGCAGCAGCUAAUUAUGUAUUGUGUUAAAGCAGUAUUACAAGAAAUAUGUAUUUUUGCUUCAGUUUUGCCCAAAAUAAUCCUGCAAGUCAGUAUUUUAAUCUCAGCAUAUGGAAAUAAGAAAUUGCGAAAUCACCUCCUGAGAUUAUGCCAA